CGGGUGAGUAAUACAUCGGAACGUACCCAGUAGUGGGGGAUAGCUCGGCGAAAGCCGGAUUAAUACCGCAUACGACCUAUGGGUGAAAGCGGGGGAUCGCAAGACCUCGCGCUAUUGGAGCGGCCGAUGUCGGAUUAGCUAGUUGGUGAGGUAAAGGCUCACCAAGGCUACGAUCCGUAGCUGGUCCUGAGAGGACGACCAGCCACACUGGGACUGAGACACGGCCCAG
rnacentral:rRNA from 1 species